CAGCCGCCGCGGUAAUGCGAAGGGUGCAAGCGUUAAUCGGAAUUACUGGGCGUAAAGCGUGCGUAGGCGGUUUGUUAAGUCUGUUGUGAAAUCCCCGGGCUCAACCUGGGAAUGGCAAUGGAUACUGGCAAGCUAGAGUGUGUCAGAGGAUGGUGGAAUUCCCGGUGUAGCGGUGAAAUGCGUAGAGAUCGGGAGGAACAUCAGUGGCGAAGGCGGCCAUCUGGGACAACACUGACGCUGAGGCACGAAAGCGUGGGGAGCAAACAGGAUUAGAUACCCCCGUAGUCCCUGUCUCUUAUAC
rnacentral:rRNA from 1 species